UGCCGGCGACCGGCGGACGGGUGCGUAACGCGUAUGUAACCUACCUUUGACAGGGGGAUAACAUCGAGAAAUUGGUACUAAUACCCCAUAACAUCACCGGAGGCAUCUUCGGUGGUUGAAAACUCAGGUGGUCAGAGAUGGACAUGCGUUGUAUUAGCUAGUUGGUGAGGUAACGGCUCACCAAGGCGACGAUACAUAGGGGGACUGAGAGGUUAACCCCCCACAUUGGUACUGAGACACGGACCAAACUCCUACGGAAGGCAGCAG
rnacentral:rRNA from 1 species